UACAUAAAUGUCGACCGGGAGGGAGUCCGCCCGGUCGACAGUUGUAUAUAACUGUUGACCGGGAGGGAGUCCGCCCGGUUGACAGUUGUGUGAUGAUGUCGACCGGGAGGGAGUCCUCCCAGUCGAGACAGUUGUAUAUAACUGUCGACCGGGAGGGAUUCCGCCCGGUCAACUGUUAUCUU
rnacentral:miRNA from 1 species